rnacentral:rRNA from 1 species
UGUCCGCCUGGGGACUACGAGCCUUAGCUUAAAACCCAAAGGACUUGGCGGUGCUUAAGAUCCACCUAGAGGAGCCUGUUCUAGAACCGAUAACCCCCGUUAAACCUCACCCUCCCUUGUUUUUUACCGCCUAUAUACCGCCGUCGUCAGCUUACCCUGUGAAGGACUUAUAGUAAGCAUAAUUGGUACAACCCAAAACGUCAGGUCGAGGUGUAGCAAAUGAGAGGGGAAGAAAUGGGCUACAUUUUUUGCAACCAGAAUACACGAAUAAUAAACUGAAAAUAUAUUUAAAGGAGGAUUUAGCAGUAAGUGGUAAACAGAGUGUAUCACUGAAACCGGCCCUAAAGCGCGCACACACCGCCCGUCAC